GGACAAGGAGAACAGGUUCCCAACCCAGACAGGAGAAACAGAAAAGCUACCUGGAGAGGUGACAUUGACAUUGAAGUUGACUGAGUUUCUGCAGUUGUAUUUUUUAACCUGCAAGGCCAUUGACAAUGCAGAAGAACCCAGAUUUCAAGAGAAACAGAGCUAGAUUCAGACAACACCUCCACCACCACUUACUGUCUGCAUCAGUCAGGGUUUUAUUCAACAUUUGAAUCAUGCUCAAACUUGCAGACUUGACUUAAAGCUUAGAUGCUUCAUCUCCAAAAGAAGCUGGCCAUGGAGUACAACAAGGAAUCUAGUAGCAGUCUGGAGUUUUCCUCUAGAAAGUGCUGUGGUCUCAAAAUGCAGUCCUGGGUAUCUGGACACAAUCCCACAAAGGGUGACUGCUAAAAAGAAAAGAUUUCAGGAUUGAGGAACAUAGCUCCUUCUUCUAAUGCACACUAUGUUGGGAUGGUGGGAUGAAGGCCGAAAUUUUCCAGGUUGGAGUCUUUUGGUGGUUUGUUUGCUUAUCCUGUAUCUGGAGUUGAGAAGAAACCAAGUUUGAGAUUUAGGAUGUGGACAGGAGGUAGGAGUUUUGCCCAUAAAUUACAACAGAGUCUGAACCCAUGGGGACUGCCAAGAAGACAAAGUGGUCACAAUUGGCUUGGGCCCGAAGCCAGGGCCCCUGCAGAGCAGGAGCCCAGUUGGGGCCUCCUCCCAGAGCCAGUGCAGCUCUGCCUGUGCGUGGAUGAUAAGCUCUGUGCUGCUUCCUCUGAAUCAUGAAAACAAACAGACCGGGCCACGAUGGAAUAAAUGAAGCUGCAGAUGAAAGACAUUUUGAAGACGAACAUGAAUUAGAGGGUUGGAGGGAUCUGAUUUUGACUUUCACAUUCAUCUGCCUUCUCCUUUCAGCAGUGGGGCCAAGGUGGCCGGCCAAGCCACUGGGACUUCUACAAGGGCCUCUGCAGGCAGGAGGCUAGUGAAGACUUAGAGCCUGUAGCGUGGACUCACGCUCAGGAGAGCCAUGAAGCCGGGGCCUCGUCUGCAGCUUUCUUCAUUCACGCUGAGAAAGUUUGUCCUUCCUGCCACCCGUAAUUUUCCUGGAGAACUGAAAAUAACAAAACCAGAGGGAUAUCCACAGAGUCCAUAGGUUCCUAGGUUAGUUCUACACGGUCCCCUUCUCCUCCCAGAAACACGAGAUGUCAGAUUCCUCAAGAUUCCUUUGAGCUCACCCUAAACUGCUCGGGGCAAGAACAUCAGUCUGUUUGUCUCUUGAGACCGUCUCUGGCAUGUUUAUGAAAAGAUCACUGGAGACUCCAGUUUCACAAUCAACAAUGUACCUAAAAAUAGAAAAAAAUCUGUUCCAGGAUAAUUUUGUCUCCGAACAGCAAGAUCAACAAAAGAUGCCUUCAGGGAACAAGUGGUCCUUCACUGAAGUCUAACGAAGCUCUGAGCUGCCUCUCAGAGCAAGGGGAGGGUGUGGCUCCCAAACGUCCUCUUCCUCUUCCCAUCAGCUCACACUGACUGGCAGUACGGAUGAAGCUGUGAACAGUAAAUGGUGACUGUGAACCAUUCUGACGCCGUCACCUGGGGCUAGGUGGCACUGUUUAAUGAACCAUCUCUGCGCAAGGCAAGGCCCAGGGUCUAAUUGGUUGGAAAGCUUUGUAGGAAACCCAGAAUGCUAGUUGCCAAGACUCUCUUCCCCUAAGUUUUAAAAUUCCUAGGUAAUUCCCUGGAAAUGUAAUCCGGAUGUUCCUGACUCCUGUAUAUUUAAACCCAUCCCACUGUUGUUUCCAAAAGACAUUUUAUGGAUAUUCCAGGCGAGUGUUUUGUCUUUAUCCAAUCAAGGAAUGCCAUUAAUUAGAUUUAAAAAAGUCCACAGGGACUGCUGUGAAAUCUAAUUCUGUCUUAAGUUUGCUAACUUUUUUUUCCCUUUUUUCUUUUUCCUCUUUUUUUUUUUUUUUUUAAUUUACUGGCCUUGUUAAAUAGUCUAAGAAAACAGGAGAAAGAGUGUAACAUAACAUAGAGCAUCCUGGACCUUAGUACCUUCAGGCUGAACCUUGCUUUCUCUGAGCUGGCAAACUGGGAUCCCAUCAAAAAGCAGUGUCAAAAUAUGGAGUUUCCAGCAAGUCAGCUUAGGAAAGGGAGUAGAAGAGAAUAAAGUAGAAAUCAAUAUCCAUUCCUAGGUUCUUACUGCAUUGUAGGAAGCACUUUCUGUUUGUUUGUUUGUUUGUUUGUUUGUUUGUUUGUUUGUUUUGAGACGGAGCCUCACUCUGUCACCCAGGCUGGAGUGCAGAAGCACAAUCUUAGCUCACUGCAACCACCACCUCCCAGGUUCGAGUGGUUCUCAUGCCUCAGCCUCCUGAGUAGCUGGGAUUACAGGUGCUCACCACCACACCCGGCUAAUUUUUUGUAUUUUUAGUGGAGACGGGGUUUCACCAUGUUGGCCAGGCUGGUCUCGAACUCCUGAGCUCAAGUCAUCCUCCUGCCUCAGCCUCCCAAGGUACUAGGAUUACAGGCAUGAGCUACCAUGCCUGGCCAUAGGAAGCACUUUCUAUUCCAGUUGGUAGAUAACAGAGACAGCUUAUCCUUGCUAUGAUAUCAGCAGAUAACAGAUCCCAAAACACAGUGCAGAUUCAUCACGGGGUUUUAAAGUCACAGAGACUUGAAUCAAAGUUCUGUCCCCCUCCUCCCAUUCCUUAACUAUGUAUGUAGGACUUGAAUGAGCUACUGGAACUCUCUGAACCCUGUUGCCUCAUGUUUCAAGUGGAGGCAAUAAUAUUUAACUCAUCACUUUUAACUAAUGUUUAUUGAGCACUUACUAUGUGCCAGAUACUGUGCUAAGAGCUUUCCAUGCAUCAUUUUAUUUUACCCUUAUGAUUUCCUUAUUCUAUAGGCAUGAGAACUGACACUCACAGCAUUCACACAGCAUGCCAAGUGGCAAAUCUGGAACACAAACAUCGCUCUUUAUGACUCCAGAGUUAUCAUCCUGCUGCUGUGAGUAUGAAAUGGCAUAAGACAUGUACAGGGUAGGGCUCAUAGUAGCUACGGAAAAGAACCAACACUAAGAACCUGUCUACUGUGUGCCAUACCCUAGAUGUGUUUUCCUUUCCAAGGCUGUCAUUUUGCUUGUGCAUGCAAGGCUUUUGUGGAUGUGACAGUUCUAGUAGAGGAUCACAGGGACAUGUGCACCUCUGACUAAGAUUGUCCUCCUCCACCAUGAACACAACUUUCAGAGGAUGUAAGUAGAAUGGUAAGUGAGGAAGGAGGCAACCACUCAUUAGAGAAAUAUUUUCCAUAUCAGUCCUUGAAAUGGGGCCAGGCACAGUGGCUCACAACUGUAAUCCCAGCAUUUAGGAGGCCGAGGAAGGAGGAUUGCUUGAGGCCAGGAGUUUGAGAUCAGCCUGGCAACAUAGGGAGACUCUGUCUCUAUUAAAAAAAACCUUAAAACAAUUAGCUGGGCAUGAUGGUGCAUGCCUGUGGUCCUAGCUACUCAGGAGGCUGAUGCAGGAGGAUCACUUGAGCCUAGGUGUUCAAGGCUGCAGUGAGCUAUGAUGGCACUACUAAACUCCAGUCUGAGUGACAGAGUGAGACCCUCUCUAAAAAAACAAACAAACAAAAAAACUUUGAAAUGAAUGGAGCAAAAGAUAUCUCAGACAGACCCCAUACUCUUCCUAAAGGGAUUUAGGUAUGCCCCAUUUCAGCAUGAACGUACGUCUAGAAAAUACAAAAGGAGGAAGAAUGUUCUGUCCAGUGUUUUAUUUGUGCAAAUGACGGGAUUUCUAAAGCUUUUCAACAACACAACAGUUGGCUGUAUUCAAAAUCAGCCGAUAGUAAGCAGGUACCUUGUCCUCUAAAGGUUUCUAGAAGGCUACAUGGUCUGUAUUUGGUCAUCCUGAUUUAAUUCCCUAUUUUUCUGAUAGAGAAGGAAUGUCGCUCUCUGUAGAAAUAUGUGUCCUAAAAGUCCCUUGGCUACUCUGAUUGAAAAAAGAAACAUGUUUGCAGGACUAAGCUAAGAUGUUGAGAUAAGAAUGAACACAGUGGUCACAACAGAUAAACAGGAGGAGGAAAGGAGCUGAUGAAAAUGGGAAUGCUUUCUUUUUUUUUUCUGUCUUUACAGUUGCCUUGCAGAGGCGCUAAACCCCAUAACUAUGUUUAUAUUCUGAUGAUGUAAGACAUUGCUUCCAAAGAGAUAGCAGUUUCCAUAGAGCUGAAUCUAUGGGAGCACAUAUUAAUCUCUUUUUUAUUUUAGGAGGAAGAGAAUCACAUCACAGAAAAGUCGUGAAAUGAUUGAAAUGUUCUUUUCUGUUCCCCCAAAGCAUCAUUAAAUGUAUGUUUCAAUCUCCUAAUAUAAUCUGAUUAACAUAUAUGCUUGACAUGAUUCAUUAGAAUAAUGACAAUGGGAAUUUCCAAGGAACACUUAUUCUGUGCCAGGGACAGUGCUAGCCACUCGACAUGAAUUAUUUCACUUAAUCUUCUCAGUAAUUUAGUUGAGAAAAUUGAGACUCUGAUUUUAAGUGAUUUUUCUAAGGCCGUGUACAUAAUGCAUAGGUUUGAAUUCCAUGUGUCUUUGACUGCAGAAUCCAUGCUAGGCCACACCUCCUAGCUCUAAAACAGCAAUAAUAUAUCAUAAGAAAGGGACCAGGAGAUGAAAGGGGGCAGGAAUUGGCAUCUGCCCAGUACUUGGUCUAUAUCAGGUACAUUACAUGUUUUCGCAUGCCCAACUUUACAUAAUUAAUAAGUAGGUGAGCUAAGAUUUAACACCAAAUGGAUCUGCUUUCAUAGUUCACUCAUGUUCCCUCAAGUGGACUUUCUGCCUGAUUACUUUAGGUGAGUUUAAAAAAAUUAAAAUAGGUAUUAAAGUUAAAUUUAGGGACCACCUAAUCCUGAAGCUAACCAAAAACAGUAUUGGGAAUUAAACUUAAGACACUGAUAUCCUGAUUAUCUAUUGCUGCAUAACAAGUUACCCCAAAGUGUGGUGGCUUUAAUAUAAUAAUUUAUUAUUGUUAUUAUAAUCAUAAUUCUGUGGAUGAAAAACUCAGGUGGAACACAGUGCAACAGCAUGCUUCUUUUCUUCUCUUUCGCUGUUAUUUAUUUAUUUAAGUUUUAACUGACACGUAGUAACUAUACAUAUUUAUGUGGUAAAGUGUGAUGUUUCAAUAAAGGCAUGCAUUGUGCAAUGAUCAAAUCGGGGUAUUUAACAUAGUCAUCACCACAUACAUUUAUCUUUUCUUUGUGAUGAGAACAUUUCAAAAUCCUCUCUUCUAACUAUUUUGAAAUAUACAAGACAAUAUUAUCAACCAUAGUCUCCCUACUGUGCAAUACAACACCAGAACUUAUUCCUUCUGUCUAACUGUAACUUUGUACCCACUGACCAACAUCUCUGCAUGCCUCAGGAUGUCUUGCUUCUGCUCAGCAAUGUCUGGAGUCUCAGAUGGGAAGACUUGAAUGGUUGGGGGCUGAAACAGCUGAAGGCUGGAUGGGUAUCUCUCUCUUACUCUGCCUUUAUCUCUCUCUCUCUCUCACUGUCUCUCUCUCUCCAAAAUAGCAAGCUUAGGCUUCCUCACAAUAUGGCAAUCUCAGGUUAGUUGGACAUCUUAAACCGCAGCAGAGCUUCAGAGUGUUCCAAGUAUUUCAAGAAAAGGAAGUGACAUCUACCAGUCUCUUAAGGCCUGGACCAAGAAACGGAU
rnacentral:lncRNA from 1 species